rnacentral:lncRNA from 1 species
GGUAUAAAAUACCCCCCAGUCGAAGUUCGUGAUGAGAGUGAUCCUCCGGGGAUCCAACUGACUUUCGACCUCUGGCAACGUCUCUUCAAGCCUCCCAAGCAGCCGAGCCUCCACCACACUCCCAAGCUUCAUCGACGGGCAGGACCCCGCUAGCGUCGAUCGGAUUCUUCACAACGUCCGGACUCCUACGGAAGCCGGACCUCGCCCCCGACUCCAACUACAGGCAGACUUCGUCCAGACUCCUACGGGA